UACGUAGGCAGCGAGCGUUGUUCGGAAUUACUGGGCGUAAAGAGUGUGUAGGCGGUGCUCUAAGUUCGGUGUGAAAUCUCCUGCUUAACUGGGAGGGUGCGCCGGAAACUGGGGUGCUCGAGCGUGGGAGAGGAAAGCGGAAUUCCUGGUGUAGCGGUGAAAUGCGGUAGAAUAUCAGGAGGAACACCUGUGGUGUGAGACAGCUUUCUGG
rnacentral:rRNA from 1 species